rnacentral:tRNA from 1 species
AUUUAAGUAAUUUAAUUAUAAAAUAUUAGUUUGUGGAACUAAAAAUGUAAGGUUUACCUUAGAUA